GACGAACGCUGGCGGCGUGCCUAACACAUGCAAGUCGAACGGGACCAGGGGCAACUCUGGUUCAGUGGCGGACGGGUGCGUAACACGUGAGGAACAUGACCUUCGGCGGGGGAGUAGCCGGCCCAACGGCCGGGUAAUACCGCGUACGACCACAUGGGGACAUCCCUGAGUGGUGAAAGCAGCAAUGCGCCGAUGGAGUGCCUCGCGGCCUAUCAGCUAGUUGGUGAGGUAACGGCNCACCAAGGCGACGACGGGUAGCUGGUCUGAGAGGAUGGCCAGCCACAUUGGGACUGAGACACGGCCCAGACUCCUACGGGAGGCAGCAGUGGGGAAUAUUGCGCAAUGGACGAAAGUCUGACGCAGCGACGCCGCGUGUGGGAUGACGGUC
rnacentral:rRNA from 1 species